rnacentral:rRNA from 1 species
UACAGAGGGUGCGAGCGUUGUUCGGAAUUAUUGGGCGUAAAGGGCGCGUAGGCGGUUUGGUAAGUCACCUGUGAAAUCUCCUGGCUCAACUGGGAGCUUGCAGGCGAAACUGCCGUGCUGGAGUGUGGGAGAGGUGCGUGGAAUUCCUGGUGUAGCGGUGAAAUGCGUAGAUAUCAGGAGGAACACCUGUGGCGAAAGCGGAGCACUGGACCACAACUGACGCUGAGGCGCGAAAGCUAGGGGAGCAAACAGG